CCAAGAUGGAGAGAGAGGUUCACUACUGUGUGUCUAGUCCUCAGUAUACUGCCCAACACACAUAGGAAAUGGUGAUUUCAGUCUUCUGAUAAAAGACUUGGAGAAUAGAAGAAAGAUACACAUACAUCUAUUUGGAGUUAACAGAAAAAAUAAAGAAAUGGAGGAGUAUCAACAUUCAAAUAAUUAAAGGCUUUAAAUUUUUCAGACUCCCUGAAAGUCAUGUAUCUUCAACACAGG